GGGGGAUAACACCUGGAAACAGAUGCUAAUACCGCAUAACAACUUGGACCGCAUGGUCCGAGCUUGAAAGAUGGCUUCGGCUAUCACUUUUGGAUGGUCCCGCGGCGUAUUAGCUAGAUGGUGGGGUAACGGCUCACCAUGGCAAUGAUACGUAGCCGACCUGAGAGGGUAAUCGGCCACAUUGGGACUGAGACACGGCCCAAACUCCUACGGGAGGCAGCAGUAGGGAAUCUUCCACAAUGGACGAAAGUCUGAUGGAGCAACGCCGCGUGAGUGAAGAAGGGUUUCGGCUCGUAAAACUCUGUUGUUAAAGAAGAACAUAUCUGAGAGUAACUGUUCAGGUAUUGACGGUAUUUAACCAGAAAGCCACGGCUAACUACGUGCCAGCAGCCGCGGUAAUACGUAGGUGGCAAGCGUUGUCCGGAUUUAUUGGGCGUAAAGCGAGCGCAGGCGGUUUUUUAAGUCUGAUGUGAAAGCCUUCGGCUCAACCGAAGAAGUGCAUCGGAAACUGGGAAACUUGAGUGCAGAAGAGGACAGUGGAACUCCAUGUGUAGCGGUGAAAUGCGUAGAUAUAUGGAAGAACACCAGUGGCGAAGGCGGCUGUCUGGUCUGUAACUGACGCUGAGGCUCGAAAGUAUGGGUAGCAAACAGGAUUAGAUACCCUGGUAGUCCAUACCGUAAACGAUGAAUGCUAAGUGUUGGAGGGUUUCCGCCCUUCAGUGCUGCAGCUAACGCAUUAAGCAUUCCGCCUGGGGAGUACGGCCGCAAGGCUGAAACUCAAAGGAAUUGACGGGGGCCCGCACAAGCGGUGGAGCAUGUGGUUUAAUUCGAAGCUACGCGAAGAACCUUACCAGGUCUUGACAUACUAUGCAAAUCUAAGAGAUUAGACGUUCCCUUCGGGGACAUGGAUACAGGUGGUGCAUGGUUGUCGUCAGCUCGUGUCGUGAGAUGUUGGGUUAAGUCCCGCAACGAGCGCAACCCUUAUUAUCAGUUGCCAGCAUUAAGUUGGGCACUCUGGUGAGACUGCCGGUGACAAACCGGAGGAAGGUGGGGAUGACGUCAAAUCAUCAUGCCCCUUAUGACCUGGGCUACACACGUGCUACAAUGGAUGGUACAACGAGUUGCGAACUCGCGAGAGUAAGCUAAUCUCUUAAAGCCAUUCUCAGUUCGGAUUGUAGGCUGCAACUCGCCUACAUGAAGUCGGAAUCGCUAGUAAUCGCGGAUCAGCAUGCCGCGGUGAAUACGUUCCCGGGCCUUGUACACACCGCCCGUCACACCAUGAGAGUUUGUAACACCCAAA
rnacentral:rRNA from 2 species